AUUGAACGCUGGCGGCAGGCCUAACACAUGCAAGUAGAGCGGAGCGGCGGACGGGUGAGUAAUGCCUAGGAAACUGCCUAGUUGUGGUGGAUAACGUACGGAAACGGGCGCUAAUACCGCAUACUAUCAGAUGAGACUCGGUCGGAUUAGAUAGUUGGUGGGGUAAAGGCCUACCAAGGCGACGAUCCGUAACUGGUCGGAGAGGAUGAUCAGUCAACAUGGAACUGAGACACGGUCCAGACUCCUACGGGAGGCACAAGUGGGGAAUAUUGGACAAGGGGCGAAAGCCUGAUCCAGCACUGCCGGGGGUGUGAAGAAGGUCUCCGGAUGGUAAAGCACUUUAAGUUGGGAGGCGUUACCAACAGAAUAAGCACCGGCUAACUUCGUGCCAGCAGCCGCGGUAAUAC
rnacentral:rRNA from 1 species